rnacentral:rRNA from 1 species
GAUGAACGCUAGCGAUAGGCUUAACACAUGCAAGUCGAGGGGCAGCAUGGUCUUAGCUUGCUAAGGCUGAUGGCGACCGGCGCACGGGUGCGUAACGCGUAUGCAACUUGCCUCACAGAGGGGGAUAACCCGUCGAAAGACGGACUAAUACCGCGUACACUCUAUGUUGGGCAUCCAAUGUAGAGGAAAUGAAAUUCGCUGUGAGAUAGGCAUGCGUCCCAUUAGCUAGCUGGUGAGGUAACGGCUCACCAAGGCGACGAUGGGUAGGGGAACUGAGAGGUUGAACCCCCGCACUGGUACUGAGACACGGACCAGACUCCUACGGGAGGCAGCAGUGAGGAAUAGUGGGCAAUGGGCGAGAGCCUGAACCAGCCAAGGCGCGUGAAGGAUGACUGUCUUAUGGAUUGUAAACUUCUUUUAGACGGGAAUAACAAGAGUCACGUGUGGCUCCCUGCAUGUACCGUAUGAAUAAGCAUCGGCUAACUCCGUG